rnacentral:rRNA from 1 species
CGGCGUGCUUAACACAUGCAAGUCGAACGGUGACGGAGAGCUUGCUCUCCUGAUCAGUGGCGAACGGGUGAGUAACACGUGGGCAACCUGCCCCAGACUUCGGGAUAACGCUUCGAAAGAGGUGCUAAUACCGAAUACGAACCUCCCUGGCAUCUGGGAGGUUGGAAAGUUUUCGGUCUGGGAUGGGCCCGCGGCCUAUCAGCUUGUUGGUGAGGUAACGGCUCACCAAGGCGACGACGGGUAGCCGGCCUGAGAGGGCGACCGGCCACACUGGGACUGAGACACGGCCCAGACUCCUACGGGAGGCAGCAGUGGGGAAUAUUGCGCAAUGGGCGAAAGCCUGACGCAGCAACGCCGCGUGAGGGAUGACGGCCUUCGGGUUGUAAACCUCUUUCAGCAGGGAAGAAGCGAAAGUGACGGUACCUGCAGAAGAAGCACCGGCUAACUACGUG